GACGUAGGAGGCGAGCGUUGUCCGGAUUCAUUGGGCGUAAAGAGCGCGCAGGCGGCUUGGUAAGUCGGAUGUGAAAUCCCGAGGCUCAACCUCGGGUCUGCAUCCGAUACUGCCCGGCUAGAGGUAGGUAGGGGAGAUCGGAAUUCCUGGUGUAGCGGUGAAAUGCGUAGAUAUUGGGAAGAACACCUAUGGCGAAGGCAGCACUCUGGGACGGUACUGACGCUGAGACGCGAAAGCGUGGGGAGCGAACAGG
rnacentral:rRNA from 1 species